rnacentral:rRNA from 1 species
AGAGUUUGAUCCUGGCUCAGGACGAACGCUGGCGGCGUGCUUAACACAUGCAAGUCGAACGGUAAGGCUCCUUCGGGAGUACACGAGUGGCGAACGGGUGAGUAACACGUGAGCAAUCUACCCUUGACUCUGGGAUAACAGUUGGAAACAACUGCUAAUACCGGAUACGACCUCGGCGGGCAUCCGACGGGGUGGAAAGUUCCGGCGGUCAGGGAUGAGCUCGCGGCCUAUCAGCUUGUUGGUGAGGUAACGGCUCACCAAGGCGUCGACGGGUAGCCGGCCUGAGAGGGCGACCGGCCACACUGGGACUGAGAUACGGCCCAGACUCCUACGGGAGGCAGCAGUGGGGAAUAUUGCGCAAUGGGCGAAAGCCUGACGCAGCAACGCCGCGUGCGGGACGACGGCCUUCGGGUUGUAAACCGCUUUCACCCAUGACGAAGUGAAAAUGACGGUAGUGGGGGAAGAAGCACCGGCCAACUACGUGCCAGCAGCCGCGGUGAUACGUAGGGUGCGAGCGUUGUCCGGAAUUAUUGGGCGUAAAGAGCUUGUAGGCGGUCUGUUGCGUCGAAAGUGAAAACUCAGGGCUCAACCCUGAGCCUGCUUUCGAUACGGGCAGACUAGAGGAAGGUAGGGGAGAACGGAAUUCUUGGUGGAGCGGUGGAAUGCGCAGAUAUCAGGAAGAACACCGGUGGCGAAGGCGGUUCUCUGGACCUUUCCUGACGCUGAGAAGCGAAAGCGUGGGUAGCAAACAGGCUUAGAUACCCUGGUAGUCCACGCCGUAAACGGUGGGUACUAGGUGUGGGGAGCAUUCCACGUUCUCCGUGCCGUAGCUAACGCAUUAAGUACCCCGCCUGGGGAGUACGGCCGCAAGGCUAAAACUCAAAGGAAUUGACGGGGCCCCGCACAAGCGGCGGAGCAUGCGGAUUAAUUCGAUGCAACGCGAAGAACCUUACCUGGGUUUGACAUACACCGGAAACACCUAGAGAUAGGUGCCCCCUUGUGGUCGGUGUACAGGUGGUGCAUGGCUGUCGUCAGCUCGUGUCGUGAGAUGUUGGGUUAAGUCCCGCAACGAGCGCAACCC